UACCGUCGGACUGCGGGAGAAGGCGCCUGAGAGAUAGCGACUAUAUCCACGGGUAGCAGCAGGCGCGAACUUUUCCCACUCGAGACUUUCGGAGGAGGUAAUGACCAGUUCCAUUGGUGCCUUUUGGUACUGUGGAUAGGGGUACGGUUUUCCACCGUACCGAAACCUAGCAGAGGGCCAGUCUGGUGCCAGCAGCUGCGGUAAUUCCAGCUCUGCGAGUUUGCUCCCAUAUUGUUGCAGUUAAAACGCCCGUAGUCUGAAUUGGCCAGCAAUGGUCGUACGUAUUUUUACGUUCACUGUGAACAAAUCAGGACGCUUAGAGUAUGGCCACAUGAAUGACUCAGCGCAGUAUGAAGUCUUUGUUUUCUUCCGAAAACAAGCUCAAUGAGAGCCAUCGGGGGUAGAUCUAUCUCAUGACGAGUGGUGGAAUACUUUGACUCAUGAGAGAGAAGCUGAGGCGAAGGCGUCUACCUAGAGGGUUUCUGUCGAUCAAGGGCGAGAGUAGGAGUAUCCAACAGGAUUAGAGACCCUGGUAGUUCCUACCUUAAACGAUGCCGACAGGAGUUUGUCAUUUGUUAAUGGCAGAAUCUUUGGAGAAAUCAUAGUUCUUGGGCUCUGGGGGAACUACGACCGCAAGGCUGAAACUUGAAGGAAUUGACGGAAGGGCACACCAGGGGUGGAGCCUGUGGCUUAAUUUGAAUCAACACGGGGAAACUUACCAGGACCAGAUGUUUUUUAUGACUGACAGGCUUCGGGUCUUUCAGGAUAUUGUUUUUGGUGGUGCAUGGCCGUUGGUGGUGCGUGGGUUGACCUGUCUAGCGUUGAUUCAGCUAACGAGCGAGAUUAUCGCCAAUUAUUUACUUUGCCGAAGUCCUUCGGUUAAAGUUCUAAUUGGGACUCCCUGCGAUUUUAGCAGGUGGAAGAGGGUAGCAAUAACAGGUCCGUGAUGCCCUUUAGAUGCUCUGGGCUGCACGCGUGCUACA
rnacentral:ncRNA from 2 species